GAGAGGUAAAGGGACAGCGGCCAGCUCCUGGUGCCCACAAGUAGGACGUCCCUCCCGCUUGUGCCCAUCUAGACGAGGCCUGGCAGCCUUGGGGUCUCUAAGACCGCGCAGCCCCUUUAAGGCGUCUUUGGAUGACUCAAAGGCCAGAGCGACCCUCUAGCGGCAGUCUCGAUGGUAAGUCUUCACUUCCGGUCGGAAGUGCGUUUGGGGAGCUGCUUCCGCCGGGGGAGAGGAACCCGCGCGCUUCGUAUCGAGGGGAAGCUAAUCUUUGUGUGGCGGCGUGGAGGUUACUUGGGCCCUGCAGUCGGGGCUCCGGAAACCGCUCCCGGGGCUCGAGAAUCCGCUCCCUCUGCGGAAGCUGCUUCCGGGAGGAGCGUAAUCCUGGCUGGGCGCGCAGGCGGCCGCGGGAUGGGCGGCGGGUGGCAGGGAUGCACGGUGCCCGGGCGUCUCCAGUGUGACACACACACGAGGCCAUCCACUUAAACUCAGUUGUAUGACUCUUUUUCCCCACCUAGAAAGCGAACUAUCCGGCCCCCCGCGACUGAAAGAAAUCACGCAGUAACUCCUUUCUCCUUCGAGAGUUUCAGGUGACCUCAGCGUGGGUGACCCAGGUCUUAUGACUGGAAGAUUGGCGUGUGCACUGCGUGACCCUGGGCCUGUUGGGUUUGACUCUGACUGCUCUGUGUGGUGGCUCUAAAUAAACGGAGUUUGGCCACUCUG